UACGAAGGGGGCUAGCGUUGCUCGGAAUUACUGGGCAUAAAGGGUGCGUAGGCGGCUUGUUAAGUCAGGGGUGAAAUCCCACGGCCCAACCGUGGAACUGCCUUUGAUACUGGCGAGCUUGAGUGCGUGAGGGGUAACCGGAACGAGUAGUGUAGCGGUGAAAUGCGUAGAUAUUACUCGGAAGGCCAAAGGCGAAGGCAGGUUACUGGUACGCAACUGACGCUGAUGCACGAAAGCGUGGGGAGCAAACAGG
rnacentral:rRNA from 1 species